rnacentral:rRNA from 1 species
UACGGAGGGUGCAAGCGUUAAUCGGAAUUACUGGGCGUAAAGCGCACGUAGGUGGUUUGCUAAGCCAGCUGUGAAAUCCCCGGGCUCAACCUGGGCGAUGCAGUUGGAACUGGCAAGCUAGAGUAGGGUAGAGGGGUGUGGAAUUCCAGGUGUAGCGGUGAAAUGCGUAGAUAUCUGGAGGAACACCGGUGGCGAAGGCGGCAUCCUGGACCGGUAUUGACGCUGAGGCGCGAAAGCCAGGGGAGCAAACGGG